GUGGCCUAGUGGUUAGAGCGUCCGCCUCGGAUGCGGGAGAUCGUAGUUUCGAUCCCUGGGCAAGUCA